rnacentral:lncRNA from 1 species
UGUGUCUUGUCAUAAUGAUAUUUAACUGUAUUUUCAAUGAUGUAAGAAAAGGAAGGACUCAGAUGAUGAUGUUACAGACUUCCAUAUAUAUAUAUUAAAGACUCCACCAUUUUUCCAGUAAUCUGGGCUCUCCAUGUUGGGCUCCAAUCUUUGACUCUCCACUCUUCUUCCCUUUACAUAUCCCAUCCAUUGUCAAAUAUUGUUAUUUCUGCCUCUACAACAUAUCAUACAUCCUUACUAUUCCCUCUACUCAAAUUGCCACCUCUGGGUCAGUACUUCAUCCACUCAUUCCUGAACUACUGCAAUAGUCUUCUGAUUGGUUUCCUAUCUAAAGUCUCUUUUUUUAUUUUUCCCUUCCCUCUUCCCCUCCUCCCCUUCACUCCCCCUUUCAACUCUUUCAAGUCUCUUUCUACUUCAAUACAUCCUCAAUACUGUACCUAAGUAAUUUUUCAAAAGCCCAAAUGUUAUUUUAUCACUAUUCUAAUAAAUCAACUCCAACAGCUCUCUUUUAUGUUUAAGAUCAAAUAUAAACUCUUCUUCUUGGCAUUUAAAGUUCUCAAUAACCUAGAUUUCUCUCCAUUCCAGCCCUCUAUGACUCCCCUCUGUAAAUAAUAGACUCAAAUACAGGACUACAAUCCCCACAAGCCUUUGCUCCACUUCCCCAAAAUGCUUUGUAAUCUCACGGGAAUUCUGAGGUGGGCAGAGAUCAAGGAAGGAUUUAAGCUGGUGGCAAAGGUCUUCUUGGGAUCUUGGACUUCCGUUUUGGGGCAGGCGUGGCUUUUUUUCAUAAUGACUUUGCAAUUCCAACAGAACACAGAAAGAGAAAAAGAGGACCUUCAGAUUCUUCCUCUGAGAGGGUUGACUGAUGAGUCAUAUGUCACCAUACCACCAAACUGCACUGCUGCUAUACUUUCCUGGAACUGGGCCCACCAUAAGGCCCUUUUAUGUGCCUGCCAAUUAUGUUUCUAACCACUAGGGUGUUGCCUUCAAUGACAUGCCAUUUUCAAAUUAUACAAAUGUAUGGAGCUCAAUGGAGUUUUGAUGGAAUUUUUAAUAAGUACCAUGAAUUGGUGUGACUUAUUUGCAUCUUCUGUCACAAACCUGUGGUUAAGUGCAUGCAACAUGAAGCCCAAUCCAGUUGGAUUGAGUAAUGGAGACUUGAGCCAAGUGGUUUCCUGUGCUAACUCUCAUGAAAGGAGCAUUUUCCUGGCUAUAGUCUUCUUCUGCUGGUGGAAAAGCAUGGGUGCAGAAUGUCUGAGACACUUUUAAACAUUAAACCAUGUUGUUCAUGAGUUACUUUUCCAGAGUCAAAAUGGCAAAAGUGGGGAAAAAAUACCCAUUAAAAUAGAAAUUAGAAAAACAGAGUCCCAGUGCUAGCUCCCCAAGUUAAAUGGUUAAUCACUUCAGUAACUUUUUUCAGUAAAAGUUCUAAACCUGUGGUCCAUUAACACCUCCCAAAGAAAUCUGUUGAUAUACUUUAGGUGGGUGGGUGAAUAUGGAUGAGAAAAAAAUGAAUUUUUCCUUCAGUUUAAUAGGUUUUCUUUCUAAUAUUAUGUGAAUUACAAAUUGUUUUAUUUAUUUGAAAAUAUCAUCCUGCCAAAGGGGUCCAUGAUAUGAAAAGAGUAAGAACUCCUGUAUUAAAAACAUAGCAGAUGUUUUUACAGGAAAACCUGCCCCAGCCAGAAAACAGGACUAGUGCUUAUAAAAAGAGCUAAGGUAGGUCAGAGAACUUUAAACUUAGCAAACAUUAAAAACAAGGAUAGUCAAUCAUUUUCAGUUCAGUUUUAUUUUGUCAUUUAUGAUAUUCUUUCCAUUGAUAUUUGUGGUCAUUGUAUAUAUUAUUUUCUUCAUUUAGUUUUGUUAACUUCAUUUUGCUUUAUUUCACAUACCUUCCAAUGAUACAUCUAAUUCUCCACAUUCAUUGUUUCUUAAAACAUAGGGAUAUUCUGUUAACAUCCCUAUACCAUAAUUUGUUUGUUUCAUUUAAAGGUAAAAGUUGUAAAAUAAGAAUAUUGGGAUAAACAACACAAUAUAUAUCUUUGUGACUUCUUCCUUAAAUAUCAUGCAAUCAUCUUUCCAAAACCAUAGGUCAUUGGUUAACUCUCCUCCCAUCUACCUAAAUAAUAAGUUAUCAGUUAUGAUCACAAAAGCUUAAAUGUUAAAAGGUACCUAAAGGUUUCCUAGUUUAACCUUACCCAAAGCACAAAUCAGUUCUGCAAAAACCCUGAGCAGUUGUCACCUAGGUUCUUCUUGAAUACUUGCAGUGACUGAGAACUUUACUGCCUGAUUAUGCAGCCUAGGAAAUGUUUAUCAGUUUCUAGCUGUUAAAAUGAACCUCUGAUUAAAAUAUAAUUACAAGUAGAUGACAUUGGCAUGGCAUCAUAGAUCUGUGACUAAUUUAAGGGGAUGGCCAUCAAUUAGGGAAUAGCUGAACAAAUUGUGGUAUAUGAUUGUAAUGGAAUUCUAUUGAACUAUGAGAAAUACUAAGCAUGAUGAUUUCAGAAAAUCCUGGAAAAACCUAUAUGAACUGAUGCAGAGUGAAGUAAGCAGAAUCAAGAGAACACUGUACACAGGAACAGCAAUAUUUUAUGAUGAUCAACCAUGAGAGACUUGGGUACUCUCAGCAGUAUAAUAAUCCAAGAUAGUUCUGAAGGACAUAACCAAAUUGCUAUCCACUUCCAGAGAAAGAACUGAUGGAGUCUGAAUGCAGAUCAAAGGGUACUAUUUUUCACUUUAACUUGUGUGUGUGUGUGUGUUUAUUUGUGAGUAUUGGUUUUAAAUAAGUAUUCUCUCAAAAUGUGACUAAUAUGGAAAUAUUUUAAGUUCCAUAUAAACUGUCAGAUAACUGUUGCUAGCUUUUGCUGAAGUUUUGGAAGGUGUUUUUCUUUUUGAUUCUUAGAAAAUUUAAAACUAUCAGUAGGGGAAGGGAAAACAUAUGUUUGAAAAUGAAUGUGAUAUAAAAAUAAAAGGUCUCUUAAAAUAUUUUAAGAGAUUUGU